rnacentral:rRNA from 1 species
GACGAACGCUGGCGGCGUGCUUAACACAUGCAAGUCGAGCGGAAAGGCCCUUCGGGGUACUCGAGCGGCGAACGGGUGAGUAACACGUGAGUAAUCUGCCCCAUGCUUCGGGAUAGCCAGCCGAAAGGCUGAUUAAUACCGGAUAUGACACUCUCCCGCAUGGGAUGGGUGUGGAAAGUUUUUUCGGCGUGGGAUGUGCUCGCGGCCUAUCAGCUUGUUGGUGGGGUAAUGGCCUACCAAGGCUUCGACGGGUAGCCGGCCUGAGAGGGUGACCGGCCACGCUGGGACUGAGACACGGCCCAGACUCCUACGGGAGGCAGCAGUGGGGAAUAUUGGACAAUGGGCGGAAGCCUGAUCCAGCAACGCCGCGUGAGGGAUGACGGCCUUCGGGUUGUAAGCCUCUUUCAGCACAGACGAAGCGCAAGUGACGGUAUGUGCAGAAGAAGGACCGGCCAACUACGUGCCAGCCGCCGCCGUAA